rnacentral:ncRNA from 1 species
GUCGGUCCGUACCCACCAACCGCAGCAGGUCUCCAAGGUGUACAACCUCUCGUCGAUAGCGCCAAUAUAGGUAAGAGAAGUCGGCAAAAUGGAUCCGUACCUUCGGAAGAAGGAUUGGCUCCGAGGACCGGGUCAGUCGGGCCGUGUGUGUUGCUGUACUCCCGCGCAGCCGCGUCGCCGUUCGCUCGGCGUCGCGCUGUCGGGCGCCAGAACACAUCUUCACGCGAAGCGGCGGACCGGUACGGGGCUGUAGCGUUGGUGUCGGAUUCGGCAUCCCGGGUGCCUUUCCGGCCAUCGCCGAAUGGUUGAAAAAUAAAAGUGCCCCCGUAGGAUUUGAACUAAGAGCGUAAAGAGCCCGACAAAAUACCGCAAUCCACUGAUCUAAUAAUUAUUUCUAAUAUAGAACAAGCCUAUCGU